UGUGUGUGUGCACGUGUGUGCACAUAUAUAUAUUAUAAAUGUGUGUGUGUGUACAUAUAACACACACACA